rnacentral:rRNA from 1 species
CCUACGGGAGGCAGCAGUGGGGAAUAUUGCACAAUGGGGGAAACCCUGAUGCAGCGACGCCGCGUGAGUGAAGAAGUAUCUCGGUACGUAAAGCUCUAUCAGCAGGGAAGAAAAUGACGGUACCUGACUAAGAAGCCCCGGCUAACUACUUGCCAGCAGCCGCGGUAAUACGUAGGGGGCAAGCGUUAUCCGGAUUUACUGGGUGGAAAGGGAGCGUAGACGGCAGCACAAGUCUGGAGUGAAAUCCCGGGGAUUAACCCCGGAACUGCGUUGGAAACUGUGCGGCUGGAGUGCAGGAUGGGUAAGCGGAAUUCCUAGUGUAGCGGUGAAAUGCGUAGAUAUUAGGAGGAACACCGGUGGCGAAGGCGGCUUACUGGACUGUAACUGACGUUGAGGCUCGAAAGCGUGGGGAGCAAACAGGAUUAGAUACCCGUGUAGUC